UGGGGAAUAUUGCACAAUGGGGGAAACCUUGAUGCAGCGACGCCGCGUGAGCGAAGAAGUAUUUCGGUAUGUAAAGCUCUAUCAGCAGGGAAGAAAAUGACGGUACCUGACUAAGUAAGCCCCGGCUAACUACGUGCC
rnacentral:rRNA from 1 species